CCUUUCUCCGACAGAAUGUCAAAAGCAGAGAGGAAGUAUGUGCUCACUGACCUGAAAACUCUUUUUCAGCUUGGUUUGAUUUGGAGAAUGAGAACUCUGUAACCCCAUGUUUCAUUAACAAGAGUUACUUUUGAAAAGCAAACUGAUGAAGGCCUAACUGGUUCCACCAGUGAUCACGGGAACAAAAUGCGGUUAACUGCUUAAUUUCUAGCAUGUUGUUCAACAAGAACUCAUAGAUUAUUCUUUUCCUCAAAGCAUGUUUUGGUUACAAACUAGCAGCAGUCAAUAGUCCACUCUCUGUUUUUGAUGUUAAAUAGGGAAAGGCAAAUUCCAUUUUACUGGUACUUUAUCUCUGGUCUUUGCCCAAGAACAAAAUUGGAAUGGGCUCUAAAGUUGGAAAGAAUCUUUAUUUGGGGGUUGGAUUAUUUAUUUGAAGCCAAGUAAGUGGUGUUUUACAAAGUGACAUGAAAUACUUACAAACAUUGGCCUCCAUGGGGUCACCCACUGGGCUGUAAAUGUCACGGUGUUGAAAACGUCAUCUUUGCUCUUCAUUCCCAUGUCCUUAGUACUUAGCAUGGUACCUGGCAUAAAAUUUACUCAUGCGUACAACAAAAACGUAGAAAAUAAAUCAAGCGGCAGUGCACCCAUGCAUGGGUAGCUGGUUCAGGCAGAUGGCUGAAGGCGAGGGUCAGCAAGUGUUCUCUCUCUGUAAAGGGACAGAUAAUAAAUAUUUUCAGCUCCCUGGCCACAUGGUCUCUGUCACAGGUGCUGUUGUAGAAAGGCUGUGUGGCAAACAGUGUGUAUACGAUAAGCAUGACUCUGCCCCACUGUAGCUUUAUUUGCAAAAACGGGUGCUGGGCUGUUAUUUGGCCUGACCACUGCUGUUAGCUUAGAGUACAAAACCCUUGGACUUCGGGAGCAAUCAUCCUGUUCUUAGCUUUGUUCUUUUUCGUGGCCAUCAAAGAUGCUUCAUUUUUAUGCACAAGUUUAAAUAUUUAUGGAGUAAAUCACUGUCUGAGGAGCUUGGAGAAUAUCUAUAAAAUGUGCUUUCUAUGCACAGGGGAUUUUCUCUAUAACAAUCCUUCUUCCAAACUCCUCAGUCAGACAAGCUACCAUUCUCCCCAGACUCAAGGCAGGGAGAGGCAGAAGGCAGAAAUGUUACACUAACCGAUGAAUCUCCACGGACAGGACACUAGCGGGUGCAGGCAGCUACUUCCUAAAAACACUUUUUAAAAAUUUAAGUAAAGAUUUAAUUGAAGAAUAAAAUGCAUACAGAGGUACUGUCCAAUAAUAUGUAUGAUUUGGGAGAUUGCAUCUUGAAGCAGAACCUAAGUGAAGAAACACAAUGCGUUCCCAUCCCAGAAAACGCACAUUUCCCAGACAUUACAAUCCCGCCCCCCAGAAUUAACCAUGAUUAUGUCUUUAACUACCUGACCUACUUAUACCCAUCUCCUAGGAUGUGAGCAGAGCAUACAGGCAUUGCAGAAGUAACUUUGGCACCUACGUAUUUCAACUUAGAGUGACCUCCAGACCCAAGGACCCCCUGCAGGCACCUUAUCACACACCACAGCAGUCAGCACCUUCUUAUUCUGAUGGCCCAUGGGCCAGAAGAGGAGGAGACGCCACUUCUCUUUUGGGUUGAGCUGGGAAUCACAAGGGUGGAAUUCGGAAGCUCCUGGUGCCACCAGUCAGUACUGAGAUCUGGUGACAACUAAGGCCUCUGAAUCGAUAUGUGCUAGAAACUUCCUCUAGGUCUGUGGCCAAGAAGUGGUUCCCAUUUCCCUGCUCUGUGUACCACAGAUCCAGAGUAAAGCUCCUCUGACAGAGGACCAGGUGGACGUUUAAUUCUAUGGUAGUAUCAUCUUUAAAAUUUGAAAAUAUGAUUUUUAGGAGUUACAAGAAGUUGAUAGAAAAAGGUGAUGGGUGGAACAAGAGCUGAGAAACAGAGGAAAGAAGGGAAAAAGAAAAGAAGUAGGAAAGAAGGAAGGAAAGUUACAACUUCUACUCAGAGAGGCAGAGAGAAAAUCAGAAAAGAGAACAAUACAGAUCCUCAGGGAGAAAAUCAAAGGCUUCUUCAAUUGUGUCAAAUGCUGCAAAUAUGGCCAGGGAUUUGGCCCAGUGGCAUAAGCACCUGCCUGGCAAGCACGAAGUCCUGGGUUUGAAUCCCUGGUAACCCCCCCUCCCCCCAUGCUGCAAAGAACUAAAAUAUAUUGAUUCAUCCAUAGAUAUUUACAGGGCACUUCUGCAUGAUGCAACUUUACCGUAGCUGUAGAUACAUCAAGUGAAUAAAGGAAACAAGGUUUUGCCCUUAGGAACAUCGCAUUUCAGGUCAGAAAAGCCUUAGACCUGCCCAUGUGGGACCAGCCUGUGAAGAGCUGUUUUAUUAAGCAUGGAAGACACUGAGACGCUGCUGCUGGGUUGCCCUGCACAUCACAGGUCCCCCUACCAUCAGGCUGUUGUGGGUCUGGCAUCGUGUGACUUCUUGGCUCUUCCCUAACUCAACGUGGCCGUGAAAGCUGAACACUGGCGAGGGAUUCAGGACACGGAGGCAGCUAGGACGCCACAGCUAAAGACACUCCUGCAGGAGGACUUGCAGAGCUGCUCACAGUGGCAAGAAUGGGGGCUAAGGCACUAUCAAGCAGCAUGUGAAUUCAUCUUCCUGAUUUCUACACUAAAUGUUUCAGGAAGUGUGCUCAGCACCCACCAGCACAGGUUUGAAGUUACUUCACGUGAUCCUCUCCUGAUGCCCUGUUCACUUAGGAACAAGACAGGUAAGGAGAGCUGAGCUCAUUGCAAAUUAAAGGUAGAAAGGUAAAAACUACGAUCUCAAGUGGAAUCCUCAACUAUAAAUAGAUCAAUCUGUAAGACUGUUGUAAGUUGCAAAAGCAGCUUUUAUGCAGUUAUUCGCAUGAGGCAGAUUCACACAAGAUAUAAAUUAAAAUCCACUUUUUACCAAGGGGUGGUUUAACUGCUUUCAUGGGUAUCUAUAAAUUUAUAAAUUCGUGGUCAAGGGUGGAGUGUCUGUCCCUGAGAGAAUGUGUUUAUAUGUGCGUGCGCGUGUGGUUUUCCUCUCUUCUGGUCCCUAACCAUCCUGACCAUGCAUCUCAUAAAGCGCCCAAGCUUGAUCUCUUCCUCCCUUUCACUGUUGUUUGCAAAUCUCUAAGCACUGAUUCUGCAGGAUAGGGUGCAACUGAGUUUAUAGGCCUGCGUUUACGUGAGUUAACACAGAGAGUCCAUGAAUUACGUUAAAUAGGUGAGGUCUUUAGGAUGAUUGGGGGCUUGGAGCAGGUAAAUUAGGUGAACUAUUUAAACUAUUUCAGUGUUUCCCUUCCUUUUUAUGGCUAUUUAAAAACAGGAUUUGCUCCCCAAAGGCAAAAAUGAAUCUGCUUAAAUUUAUAGCUGUGAUGGCUUAGGAGCAUCGUUGCUUUUGAAAGGGAGAAAGAACAUAUGCAUACUGUGGGCUCAGUGUGCUCCAGGCACAGAUGAUCCGCAUGUGCUGUCCCCUGCGCUCCCGUGACGCCCUCUGGGUAGUAGUACUGCAUACUCUGCUCAGGUGAGUCAAAUGAAGGUGAGAGAAAAGGCCACUUGCCAGAGCGAAAGCAGGCUGGUCUUUGACUUUCAGUGAUUACAGGCAAUGUCAAGGUCUCCGUUUCCAACAUCCAGACCCUUUACUGCAACCGGGAAUUCCAUGACUGUUUGGAAUGGCUCUACCUUACAGUGAUGUUUUUACUUAAUACCCCAGGGCACGUUUAUAAAAAUGAUUUUAAGGUCUGCAUUCACUUAUUCAAAACACAUUUAUUAUGGUGUAUCUGUUUAUUGUACCCAUGAGAUGCCAUCUUCAAGAUCCUAGAUUUGAGGUAUCCAGGAAAAUGACUACACUGCUACUGUAUGUUGCUUGAAUUUGGGUGAACACAUCAGGUGUGUGAGGAAUCCCUCUGUUCCAGUGAGACAGGUGGCGCUCACUCAGGGGAGAAGGCUAACUCAGCAGUGGAUAGAGGCAUCUGAGCUGUCCUGGUGCAUUUGUGUUGGAGGGUGACGUGGAGGAAUUCUGACCCAGCCCUGCUACAUAUUUGCACACCUUCGAUUUUUAUUCUUUCCCACACAAUCCAUUUUCUGCUGUACAAACUGUAAGUUACUUUUCUCAAGGAAACAACAACGGUGUCGGGAUCAGUGAGCCAACUUUGUGAUUAGAAAUCCUAAUCUCUGUUUCUCUGGCUUUGAUUUCCUCCCUCACUUCAGGCUCCCGGUGUAAUCUGUUUGCCUUGGUUAAUUAUGUGCAGGGUGCAGGUUACCUAAGGAUGACUGCAGCACAUAACUCAUUGCUGGUUGCUGCAUCUUUGAAAAUGUGGCAUUCAGCAUGCACAGUAAGCACAAAUUGUUAUCGUUAUUAACAUUGUCAUUGUCUCUAGUGUUGCAGGAGGCCUGCAAGAGGCCCUCAUGCUUGUUUUCCAGCUUCAGUUUCUCUUCUCACCAGCUGAGAGUGUCUGAGCCUCACUGCAGGCAGAGGAAAUGCAGCAAGUUCUUUCUGUCUGUGGAAGAAUCCAAGUCAUCCCCUGUUCCUGCUCCUUGGCUCUUUCUACUCUUCUGAUACAACUUUCCACCUGAUCCUUACCCAAAUACACACACAUACAUACAUACAUAUGCAUAUAUAAACAUAUGUAAGCAUAUAUAAAAGCAUGUAUAUAUAAAAGCAUAUUUUAUAUAUAUGUAUAUAUGUAUACACACAUCUAUCUAUCUAUCUAUCUAUCUAUCUAUCUAUCUAUCUAUCUCUAUGCAUGUAGGGUUCUUCUAACCAGCGGGCUGUCUCUGGGGCUCGGGCAGCUCUAACCUCUCAGCCCCCAGCAGUGGACACUGGGAAACAGAGGCCAAGGACCCAGAGUCGCAGAUCUGACCUCGGUGUGAAUGAGCCCUUCUCUAACGAAGCCGUGCGAUGUGCCCAUAUGAAUGAGGCCUCUCUUUGAGGAGAGAAAACUUCAGGAAGCUGCAUAAACAUCAUUUUUGAAUAUAGUUAUGUGGUAACUGGUUGCUAAAUAAUUAUUUGACUUAUUUAAAUCUACUGUUUCAAAAAGACUGCUCAUUAUGACUGCAAAAAUGACUGUAUCAUUUCCAGUGAUGCCCUUCUCUGUUCCUAAAGAAGUUUGAUUUUCAUUUUGGUUUAUCUCAACAACUGUUACAUAUUCUUAGUGAAUCACUAAAAUUUUCCUCCAUUUAGAUAACUUCUCUAACUUAGUCCCCCCCCCCAAUACUCCAUCCUUGUCUGUUAUUUCUUUGAUAAUUGUUUACAUCUAUUGCUUUCUUUUACCGCCUUUUCAAACACCUACACAGUCUUUACAGAAUUUAAUUACACAUCCCUCUGGGUGAGAAGAGAGAGGUAUUCAUCUUGGUAACCUCUUAAGUGCUCAGGUCAGACCAGUGGAAUUGGGACUGAAGGCAUAUUAAUUUUUCCCUUUUUUAGGAAUUUAUUUGGGAGCAUCGUGGCAUCCCCCUUGAGCAGUAUGGAAAGACUGCUGCAACCCUGCCUUCCACCGCUGGGAACAUGGCUGGAUCACUCCCCAUCUCUUCCUGUGAUUCAGGAGGGCCAGGGUGGUACCACAGACAGCACGUGUGCUGCUGCUGCAGUGGCCUGUGAGAAUCUCCUCCACAAAGGCCCUGCUUACCUGUUAGCAAGUUGAGUAAAAGCCAGAUCCAAACACCUAAGUCUGCAGAGAAAGCCAAGGCCUUCCGUGUCCAUGCAAUCUGCAGGGGAAAAGAGACCCAGGAGGAAGUGGCCAGAAGACCCAUCAUGGCCAUUGCAUGAGCAACAAACAAUCUUCUGUAAUUUGAGAAGUUUUUGCUACCAAAGCCUAAAUUGACCUAUGACAAUCACCUCAAUAUUAAUAUAUUCAAAAGUGGAACUCAUUUCUUUCCUCUUUCUUCUCCAAAAUCCAGCACAGUUGCAAGCCUCAUCUAGACAUCUUCAAACUAUAUUUCAAAACCCCAUCUGUCUGCCAGUUUCUCCCAUUUUUCUGCAUUGUCUCUAUGCACACACACAGAUGCCAUCGUUUCUCACCAAGGCCCUUGGGCUGUGCUUGCUGGUCCCGCCCCUGCCCUUUCUGCCCUCACCCCAGCCCACGAUGCUGGCAUCAGGAGGACCCGCAGGCUCACACGUGCCAAGCCAGCACGCUGCCUGCGAGCCAGCCCCAGCCUGCUCUUCUCAUUCCUGCUAACCACACUGUAACCAGGGGCGUCUUUUUAAAGCACAUCUUAAGACUUAUCAGCGAGUUAAAAAUCCUUCCGUAGCUCCUCACUGUAUGAAGAACAAGGACUAAAAACUCCUGACAUUCCUUCCAGGACCUACGCCUCACCUUAGGUCUCUUUUCCAAACACCUGCAAAGAUUAGUCACCUGGAAUUCUUUCACUGUCUCUGACAAACUAAAUUCUUUCCUCCAGCAGGAUCUUCCCCAGCACAGACUGGCUGGCCUUGAAGCUUUUCCCCUUAUUCUCCACAUGACCAGCUGUCUUGUUCCCUUUACGUUACCAUUUGAUUAUUCUUUUCCCUGAUCCACGUACCCAAGAACACAGCUACCCUCUGGUAUCCUUCACUGCAGUGUCUUGCUCUUCUCCAUGUAGAUAACUUCUAGAAUUUCGUAUUAAUUCCUACAGAAGACAUGAACUUCAGGUCACAUAGUCAGAAAUGCAAAAUUCUGGCUCUGCUUUACUUAAAUAGAUGCAAUUUCCUUUUCUGCCUUGUAUCAAGUGUUUAUUCUAUAGGUAAAUUGACUAAGAUAUAGGUUCCAGAUGCCGUAACAAAAAUUUGAAAUAAAAUACUGAGUAAAGUAUUUAUAUUAGACUUGAUGAGAUUUGUAUAUUAAAAGUUUGCGCUUUUUUUAUCACUGUGAGGGGAAGUAGCCAUGAUUGGUGACGGAGUUUGAAGUUCACCAGAGUUUUGUCACUCUGUCCUCCUUCACACAGGCUUUUGUGUUUGAGUUCAAGACACAAGGUUAACUAGACGGGGUGCUAGAUGCUCACCGUGCAUGGCUGAGGUAAAAGCUACAUAGGAGGAACCAGCCACGAGAGACCCGUAUUCGAUUUGAGUGUCUGUAACAUUCAUGCUCAGUGUUGUUGUCUCAGUGUAUAUAAUGGAAUAGCCACCAAAUAUCCAUUAUACUUUCUUGGGUUUCCUUUUUAAGUUUCUUCCAUUUUUCUUGCAUUUCAUUUUCUUUUUUAAAAGAAAAAAACACUAAAAUGUUUUUAGAGGAAGGAUUCCAUUUUUUGCCAAUAGAAAGAAAAUUCUAGAACUUCUCAGUACAUUUACACUAAUAAUGAAAUACAGAAUAAUAUCUGAAUAGACUGUCUAAUUUAUUAAUCUAUAAAUGCCAAAAUGAUAAGCAAAAGUUCCUAAACAUGCAAAGCCUAAGUAUGAGGAUUAUUGGCUUAUUAACAACCCUAAAAACUAUCUGACCUCAGAGCUAUUUGUUACCUUUUAGUAAAAAAGACUAAAUUCAGAGUUUCCUUACCUCUACAGGAAAAAGUAAUAAAUGUUUCAGACCACACAUGAAGAAUAGCUUUUGCUGUGGUUUUUCAAGGUAUAUUCCUGCAUUUAAUGAUAAAAACAGAAAGCAAUUUGAGAAUAUUUUCCAUGUGUGUCCACAAUGGAAGCCACAACAUCCUCUUUAUGGAAGAACCGGAGGUCUCUGAGGCUGAAGGCUGGUUAGUCACACGCAUCGUGGAGGGGCUCGCAUUAUGCAUGUGCACACACUCACACUCACACUCACACUCAGGGGCACUCCUCUUUCAUGCAUGAGGUUUGCUACACUCAAAGUGGUCCCACACUCGCAACUGCUUUCUGCUCCACUUCUGCUUGCCAAUUGGAUCAGCAUGCCCAUCUCUCCAUCCCCAAAUUAAAAAAUAAUAAUAAUAACCAAGCAGUACAGGUGCACAAAUCAUGUGGCUCCUCUGGCACUGGCUAAAACACAAGAGAAAACUGUGAAUCCAUUAUUACACCAGCAUUUUUCUAGCACUACAAAUAUAGCUCACAAAGUGGGAAAUAUCUAGGAAGCAGAUAUUUUACAAUGUUCCAUCUUUGAUAAGGUAAAGUAGAACAGUAUGUAUGUAUCAGAAAUGAGAUUUUUGUCUGUGGCCAUUCAACACCAAGACAGAAUGCUCUGUUCUGUUUUUGUUCCAAGUUUCUUACGUGUUUUGACCUUGCAGGCACCACCAAGGGAGUGAAAAGAACAACACCUUCCCAGGAGGAUUCAUUGCUCUAAGAAUUUUAACCCAAGAUCCAAAGGGUAAAAGCAGAAGCCAGCCUAAGAAGGGAGAGAUGGCAGAAGGCUCUGCAAACUUCGCUGAGAACUGUCCUGAUUUCAGGGCUGCCCUGAGCAGCGGGCUUGGAGCUGGAGACGACUAUCCAUUGUGAAAGGAGCCAAUCCAGGCUGCUUUGCAAACAGGUGUCAUCCCCUGGCAGCUUCUGGUUAGGGACAGGUUAGGCGUCAUGCCACGUUUCCAUGGAAUGAUUCUAGCAGCUCCCGAGAUGCAUGAUGUAUGAUUUCUGUGCAGAAGCAACCUCUGAUUUAUUAGAGUAUAGGUUGGGAAACUGGCCACCUGUACUCUCGUCUUUAUCUUCUUUUCCAGAUGUGUUUUGUAUUCCUGCUCUAACAGAUCAGGCUACAAUUCUGUGAAUACUCACUCCUGUAAUUACAUACCAUGUCUACACUGAGCUGUUCCUCUGGAAACCUGAAAGUACUUUGCAGUCCUUAAGUGACAAAAUUGCUUCAAAAUACACUCAGAAAGCCGAGGUUCUAGUCAGUAAACAAGAACUCACUGAAUUCUUUCCAGGAAAGUGAGUUGUUUUUCUUGGGUUUUACCUGCAUAUUCAUAUAGAACAUUUUAAUUUUUACUCUCCGAGGUGGGAAGUUAAAUGGUCACAGAAGUGUGAAGUUGGUCCAGCUAAGGCCAAGAUGGGAGCAAAGUUUGGUCAGCUUAAUUUUUGGCUACUCCUCAGUUUAGUUCAAACCACAUUCAUCACUGGUGCAUUCAGUUGCAUAACUCAUUCUUCUGAAGAAUGUUUGUCUCUCCCAUGCCACACAAGUCGAGCUGGCCUGACUUUCCCAGAACUGAGGGUGCUAGGAGGUAACACGGGCAGAGCCAAGGUCUAGGGUAACACGCGCCUGCCAGGAAACGUGCCUUAGAAGAGAGAGUCUCAGAAGCCUUCUUCUGAAAAUGUAAGCUGAUACUAUUUUAUUGAAUAUGUACACGAGAGAAAAGGAUACGCUUCAGACUUAGAGUCUCCUACAGAAAAAUGUGAGUUUCUGUCUUAAACAAAAUUGGUUAAUGUGCCCCUAAUACCAUGAAAAGAAAUCUUUGGAAUCCUGAAGCCUGUGAUGAGCAAAUGCAGAAAUUCCACACGCCGUGGACACUGAGGGCAGCCAGGAGGGAAGAUUUCCCAUCUCAUCGGAGGCUCCUGUCUCCAGUUUACUCAAUGGCACCGAGCUGUCGCUCCGUUUGCACAGUCAGCUUAUAAUGGGAAGUCCCAGUUCAGUGAGCCAUUUGGCACUGGAGCAGGUAGAGACUCCUGGAUGAAAAAGAACUAUAGUGUUUCAGCUCUCGUUGCUGUGAUAAAUGCCUGAGAUAAAUGACUUGCAAAGCCAGAGGGCUGAUGUUGGCUCACGGUUCAGAGGACUCAGUUCGCAGCCAGUGGGUUCCACAACUCUCAGCCUGUGAUGAGACACAGCACGGGGAAGCAGAUCCGCUCGUAUCAUGGCAAGGAUAUGAAACAGAGAAGGAGGAAAAAAGUAAGGUUCCACAGCGUCCUCACUCCUCCUCUGGGGCCUCUUUCUGAGGUCUACACCGCCUCCCAGUACUGCCAGGGGUUGGGGACCAAUUCUUCAGCAGUCGUCCCAAAUUCACACCACAGUCCUUCUCCUGUUUACUGUCUAGCUGGUUUUCUUUAAAUAUUUACAUGAUGCGAAGAGUUUCAACUCAGCUUAGAAUAUAUAAAUGGAUGCAUGCUAAAAAUUUUUUUUGUCACUUAAAAUCUGUUGCCCUAGUUUUAAAUAUGUUCCAAAUGAAGCCAACUGUGAAGAGGACAUGAAAAUCUCUCCUAUAGGGUGAAACAAAAUGUAAUUUCUUUCUUGAUUAGAUUUGCUCAGAGUUAGGGUCAGACAGCCUGUCGAAUAUGGAAAAUCUUAAAAAUCAGAGCUGUCAAAAUAUGUUAUCACUGUGAGGUAUACCCCUAGUGUUGUAUGAAACAAUAGUGUGUUUAUCCUCACUCAACUGUGUAAAUACACUACAACUUAUCCAUUCUACUAUUGAUGGAUUCUGGGCUUUUCCAGCCCGGAUCUGUUAAGAAGAAUACUACCAAUAACAGGCUUAAACUUUCCCUUUACGGGACAUAUGUACACAUUUAGGUUUGAUGUAUGCUUAGGACAGAGCGCAGCCCCUGGAUUUUAGGGUUUACAUUCACCUUCAGUAGAUUACACCAAACAGAUGUCCAAAAAUGUCUGCAGCAACAUAAUCCCUACAAAAGCUACAUGAAAAUAAUAAAAGUCAAGUAUAGAAGUAUCUGAAUUGGAUGAUUUCAUUUUACAGAAAAUUUAAAACCAGCUAAAAUUCACCGACCAUGAUGAAACUCCAAAUAGUGGUCAUGGGAGGUCAUGACUGAAAAAUGGCCUUGGGGGAAUUCUAAGAUGUUGUUGAUCUAUUUCUUAGUAGUUUUGGGGGAAUCACGUAUUAAACAUCUGUUAGUAUGUAAGCUCA